rnacentral:rRNA from 1 species
UACGUAGGCAGCAAGCGUUGUUCGGAGUUACUGGGCGUAAAGGGUGCGUAGGCGGUUGUUUAAGUUUGGUGUGAAAUCUCCCGGCUCAACUGGGAGGGUGCGCCGAAUACUGAAUGACUAGAGUGCGGGAGAGGAGAGUGGAAUUCCUGGUGUAGCGGUGAAAUGCGUAGAUAUCAGGAGGAACACCUGUGGUGUAGACGGCUUUCUGGACCAUAACUGACGCUGAGACACGAAAGCGUGGGUAGCAAACAGG